UUGCCUUAAUGAAAAACAAGAGCAAGUCACAUCUCUAUCUCCAGGAAACCAUUAAGGGUAAUGGCUUGAGGAAACCAGGUUAAAAGGGAAACUGGAUAAUCCUAAUCAAUGUAUGUCUAGAGCAAUGGUUCUUACGACAUGGUACCCAGUGUCAGCACAAGCAGGGGACACGGAAGGAAUCCAUGUUGUUGGGGUGGCCUGAGAGCUACCGGAGUGGGGACUCUGGACAUGGGUCUCAGAUGCACUGCCCCAGCACACACUGUUUAUGAGGGCCCUGGGGAGGCUUCUCACGUACAUUUCAGAGUAUUCGGAACUCCAGCUGAGUGUCUCUGUAGAUGGCAAAGUCGUGCUUUUGGUCUUGUCCUCGGAGUCAUCUUUGUCUUCUACUGAAUUUUGAGUUAUUCGAUCUAUACUGCUGAAAACCUGCGGGGCCGAUAACCACUGUUUACAAACUACAUCUAAAAAAGAGCUUGUCAGAAGCCUUAGGGAAAAAAAAUAAAAAAAAAAUAAAAACUCAAAUAUUGAAGUAAAAUCGGGAACUGGGAGACCACUAUACAUGGUGGCGCACACCUUUCAUCUCAGUACUUAGGAGGCAGAGGGUGGCAGAUCUCUGAGUUCUAGACCAGCCUAUAGAGUCUACAGAGUGAGUUCCCAGACAGCUGGGGCUACACAGAGAAACCCUGUCUCUAAGAAAACAAAACCAAACAGAAAAUUGUGAACUAGGGCCAUGUUGUGGAAAAUGCUAACAAUGUUGUAUGCAUGUCAUGAGAGAGAAGGCUCGAAGUAUGGAGACACAUUCUUUUCGAGUGGGGAGCUGAACUGACCCUCUCCUCUCACCAAAUCUCAAGGACUCUGCCAAAGAAGAAUCAUUGAUGCACUUGAGUUUCAUGGUUUCGGGGAUCAAUGUACAUCUCAGACAGGCUUGAGGCUCAAAAAGUAACCAGACAGAGAAAAUGAUACAGAAAACAAAAAGUAUUUAAUGGCCACCAAGCAGGAGCUGAGGUUGAGUGUGAAGAAGAGAUGAUGUGUUUCAGGACUUAGGACUUAGAGUGGGGUCGGUUCUAUGGAAGAAGGGAGCUAACCAGGUACCUUUGGCUUACAAAUCAGACAGACAGCUGCUGGUGCAGGAGACUAUAGCUUAGGCAAAGAGGCCUCUUUUAGCCCACUUCUGAAACACCACAGUCUCAUAGAAAGUACAAGAGGUAAAAAUGGGAGUGUGGAGAGCCCAGUACCUGCCAUUGCUACUCUCCAGCUAUUUACUGUUCUCAUGGAAAUGGGCCUGGGGCCUCCUACAAUCUCUAGAGUUAGAAAAAGAUUAGGCUAAAGAACAGGAGCCGGGGAAAAAUAAAAUGCUCUCCAGAGUAAAGAAGCAAACUGUUUAGGAGGGGUUCUGAGAGGGUAGAGGAUGGGUUGUGUUCUGAGUACCCAACUGAUGUUCCUUAAACUUGCUUCAGGACACACUUGCUAUAAGUCUCCAGGGAAAUCCCUGCCCCUAUGUUGGUCCUAUAAACAGACAGGGGUAGCACCGGCUGAUCUGCAGCUGCAUUUGGGGUAAUCACUCAGGAGAACAUACAGAGUGCUUUAAAAUCAAGAACUGCUAUAGAAUUCCUAAGGAAGAAUCAUGCCAAAUGCCAUGGCAACCACAAAGAUGUAGCAACUGAGACUAGCAGAAAGGAGGUAGGGUGCCCUUCGGGUUCAUUUCCAUCAUCCCUGGGUUCCUAACCUAUCAAAAAAUCAGGUUGUCCUUGUCUGUCUGUUUUUGAAUCUUACCUGAGUUCUAUAGAAAGGGAUCUCUUUCAAUAAUCAAUUUUGUUAUCUUAUACCAUUUUUAAAAUGAGUGGUACUGCCUUUUCCAAUGUAAGUUACAAUUUCUAUUGUUGAUCAAAAUACUUUCUUAUCCCCAAAGUCAAGUGUCUCCUAAGAGGCCUGGCUCAUGCAAAGAACUGAGCAUCAUUCCUGUGUUAGACUGUGCCACACUAAGGGGGAUCUCUGCACACAGUGAUGCCUAUGCUCUUCCUCACUGACCAAAGCCUCCACAGACUAGCUCUCAGCUAGACCUUAGGGGGCAGGCAAGCAAGUUCACCACAGGACAACUAUGAUGAAAGAUGACAAAGCAUUGGCGCCCUUGCUUCAAAGCAACAACCAACUCCCAAAGUUAGACUAUGCUUCUAGGGUGGAAACCGAUGCAAAUCCAAAAUAUGAGACCAUUUUCCCCCAACUACCUGGGAGUUUUAAGUGCUGGAGACCUCACAUCACACAAAGGGAAGGUGCCUUGACAGUCUAGUCCAGCUGAGCUGGGUACCAGCCACAGGCAAUCUCCCCAAGAUUCUGCAUGCUGAUGCUCCAUCUCACUUACUUUUGAAAACCUGUGUGAACAGGAAGAAAACUGCCGUAUCUCCACGGUGAAGUCCUCAUCAUUGGUAUCGUCUUCCUCCUCCGUCUCCAUGUGAUGAUACUUCUCUGACCGAGCUGUGGGGGAAGGUUUGGGAGCGGCCUGGGUUACUCAGAGAGUUUCUGUGUUUAACAGAGACAACUAUACUAUGAGUACCUGGAGCAGAACAGCAUGGAGCUUUCUAGGAUGGGGAGGUACGAGAUCGGAAAGUGUGAAGCUGGAGAUGAACUAUGUAUUUUUUAAAUGUAGGAAAGGCCAAAGGAUGUCAGAUAAUGCACGUACUAUCAAAAUAACUUGUGUCAUCCUCUGAUUCCAGUUGGGGAAUAAAUUCCGCCUUCUGUCUCAGCAAACUGUUCCAGUCUAAGGAGCGGAAGAAACGAUGCUGCUUCACUUCAUAGGCACCACCUGGACGGGGAGAGAAGCAGGGCUGAGAGGCUGAGCUGCCCUCUGCACACAGUAAGCACCAGGCUUACAAACAGUUCAAGAUAUUAUUAGGAGAGAAAUGAAGAAGUGGUGGAGUCCAUUCUUCCCCCCUACUUUCUACAACCAAACCUUGAAAAGAAAAUUCCUAUAAUUUAUCAGCAGGAAAUCUGAUUUUGCUAACAGCAGUUGCUACAGCACAGAUUUUCUCGGUUAAUUUUUCUACAACUUCUUCCAUUUUUCAAAGGUUAAUGACAGGGCCACUUAAAAUCACAUUAUACUGAACCUGGGGACAUGGAUGCAUGUUGGCCCAAAAGCAGACUCACUCAUUACAAACCCUGAAGAUCCUAACAAGGUGCAAAACGUGCUUACAGCAAGAUUUCUUCUGGAGGGAAGGUUAAUAAUGAUGGAUUUUUCCUAAAUAUUAUAUAAUGGUUACCAUUCAGUUUUAUCAGAUUGCUCAUUAACACAGGGAGGAAUUAGAUUCUGUGGUUUAGAUCCUUAAGUAAGGAAAUGGCAAAUUGGUUAGACAGAUUUAUAAUUCGUCUAACAGAAAUCAGUCACAGGGGCUAAAGACGAGGCUUCUGUUUGCCAGAUAAUUAUAGUAGUACAGUUUGGAGAGAGGUCUUUACAUUUAUUUAAUGAGUUUAAACAGUUAAGUUUGAAGGGCAAGGUUCACUGGGAAUGUAUUCACAACAUCCCAUUGAAAGAGAGGGAAGUCAUUUGGUAAGAGCAGGCCCCACCCUACCCCAGCACACCCACAAGAGAUAACAAAAAACAGAGCCUGAAAUAGCAUCAGGAAGAAAGAUUUCUCAGAAGACCAUCACAGAGGUCUAAUCUGCCUCUCUAUCAAGCUUUCUUGGGGAUGGGGUAGGGGAAAUGUAGCUGCUUCUCUCUAUGACUGUCAUCCAUGCCUCCCAUCCUGUCUUUUGUGGGUACAAAAGGGACAGAAUGGGAAAGGGAGGGAGAUGGAAGAUGGGCUGAGACAGAGAAAAGUGGGGUAAAUCACUCCAAGAGGGGACAACUGACUGGUUUGCACAAAGCACAAGGAUGAGAAUUUUUUCUUAUCCUUUUUUGUUGUUGUUGUUGUUGUUUUGUUUUCUUUUGAGGCAGAAUUUCUUUGCAUAGCCCUGGCUGUCCUGGAACCCCCUCUGUAGACCAGCCUGGCCUUGAACUCAGAGAUCUACCUGCCUCUGCCUCCCAAGUGCUGAGAUUAAAGGCGUGUGCUACCACGGCAACUACAGUACCAGUGGCUUUUCAGCUAUGAUCGAUCUGUGGGCCAGUUCUGUGCUGGGUGUUGAGACAGACAGACAGACAGACAGACAGACAGACAGACAGACAGACAGGGAAAGUGCAUGGAAAAGAAAGGGAGCGUGAGAAAAGAAGAGUCCCCAGAAAAGUAUAGUAUUCAAUCCUGGUUUCUGGUUUAUGUUUCUUACUGGCUGAGGGUCAAGAAUUUCUAUUCUACUGGCAAAAUCCAAACUGCUGUUUAAGACUGUCUGCAAAGAAAAAUACUUCCUUUGCUAGAUAAAGCCCACAAAAAAAGAAAGAAAGAAGAAGAAGUAUUACAGCAGUCAGGGAAUUCUGGGAUCUCAUGUAACCCAGGUUGGACCUGAACGCACUAUGUAGCUAAGGAUGAUCUUGAUCUCUGGAUCCUUUUGCCACUACAUCUCAAGUGAUGUGAUUAUAUAGGCUUGUACCACUGGGCCUGGCCUACAGCAGUCCAUAUGUAAACAAGGACAGAUACUUGCUAUGGGAAAAAUGGGGGAGAAAUGGUUGUCCUACUCUUUACUGAUGUUUCUAUUAUAAUGGAAUAGAACUUCAGAAUAAAUGACCACAGCAGGCCAACAAUUUUCACCAAUAAAACUACUAAUUACCACCUAGAGUAUGUGUACCUACAUUUAACAUUUUUGUCUUGCUAAGACAGAUUCACCUAGGCAGACCUGAUGCUAUCCCAAGAGAUGUCUAAAGUGUCUAUCCAUAAUAUAGGAAAGAAAAGGAAGCUCAUACCUGCUGGCUGUAAAACUGGAGGGAAAAAAAUAUCAGCAAGAAACAAACAGAGUAUCUCGUCUAUCUUCAAAGGCAAUGGUUUAAUUCCCUUUCUUGGGCCAUGGUGUUGAUCGCCAUGAUAGGAAAGCCUGGCUCAGCCCCAGGCCCUCAUUUCUAGUAAUCAGUUGGAGAGCUGAUAACCUAUUUCAAAGGCUGUGGAUAGAAGCCUGCUGGGUUAAAUCCUCGUGGAAUGUAUAUUAAAAACACGACCAAAAAGAGUGCCUCGUAUCUGAUUUUCCGUUUCCAAUUAUUUACGAUGCAUGUUUUUCAAAACAGAAGAUUGGUACAUACCCUGGAGAUGCAUUUAUUGAACUAAAUUAAGAGUUUCUCCCUCGCAAAACACAAAAACAAACACCACCCAUCCGUGUGUAUGUGCUGUUCUAAAUCACACACACACACACACACACACACACACACACACACACACACACACCCACACACACCCACACACACACACACACACACACCAACCAAAUAAUAUUGCUAUAAUGUGCUGUAGCUAUGUCCUACAUCCACUAACAGAUGUUGCCUGCACAGAAAACAUUGGCAGAAGCUUCAGACUGCUCCAGAGGACAUUAUUUCUUGUAUAUUGGCAAAAGCACACAUGCUCUCUAACCUGUUCCCAGCCUCUCCAGCGGAUUCUGCCUGAGGAGCAAGGUAAUCAGACCCUGAGCAUCUGGAGGAGGGGCCUCGUCCUUUUCAGGCCAGUUGAUUUCAUCUGGAAGGAAGAGAAGAUGUCUAUAGUUUUAUUGCUCAAAGGGCAGAACCAUGGGCCCCAUCCCGGAAACACUGAGAACAAAACCUGCAUUUAAGAUCUUCAGUUGACUUCUACAUGGUUAGGUUUGAACAGUAUUAUCUUAGAAGGCCUGGACAGUACUGGUUUCUUCAAGGUCUAUUUCAAGAGACUAUUUCAAUAAACUGUACCUUUCAAUCACAUUUUUUUUCAUUGACAGAACUGUCUCCUACCAAGCCACUCCUCCUGGUUAUUAGAAGGGUUUAAUAGAAUAGAACUGAACAGCUUUGUGGCAGGUGCCUACCCGUUGGGGACCAUCUAGGUGUAAGAUUUUCUUACUAGCCUCAACUGCGAAUCUGGUCAUGCCUGCUCAAUUCUUUAGCUCCAAGGAGUAAAAGGUUAUUUUGCAAAAAGUAAUUAUUUCGAGAGACAAAGGCAAAGUCCAAAAUGUUAAGGCUGAAGAAGAAAAAAACGAAAGGAAACCACAGUAAUGGGAGUCUUUAAAGUCUGUCAGAGAUAUUAAACUGUGUUCUCGCUCUAAAGGAGUUUGCCUGGAGAUAGGUGUGUGCACGCUUGUGCCUAUGGAAAUGCAAUAAAAACAUGAGUUAUUUUUUGUGUGCGCCGGCCUCUAGCUUCCUCUGCUGUAGUUUAAAUCUGAUUUGGAAAAUAAAACAUGAAUAUGCAUCGGAGCCGUAAGGCACUGAGAACAAAGCCAGCAUUUGCUGCUUGUGUUAAUUAAACAGUUGAUUCCCCUUG